GGGAGAACGAAAAUGAGAAUCGGUAGGUGCCAUAACUCUUGAAUAACCGAGCAAGCAUUUAAAAAAAAUUAGAAAAGAGAAACAUCUGUUUUGUGAAUAUGAUGUGAAAAAAUAAAAUAAAAAUAAAGAAAAUGAAAAUGAAGGCUUGCUUGGAAGAAAAAUAGUGAAAAACAAAAAUUGAGUUGUGAAAUAAGAGUUGUGAAGGUUUCAAAUGAGAAAUAAGUGGAACGAAGUUGAGAUGUGU
rnacentral:lncRNA from 1 species